rnacentral:rRNA from 1 species
AUCUACGGCUAUGCCACCCUGAACAAGCCCGAUCCUGUCUGAUCUUGGAAGCUAAGCAGGGCUGGGCUUGGUUAGUACUUGGAUGGGAGAAUGCCUAGGAAGACCAGGUGCUAUAGGUA